rnacentral:rRNA from 1 species
UGCAGUCGNACGCUUCUUUUUCCACCGGAGCUUGCUCCACCGGAAAAAGAGGAGUGGCGAACGGGUGAGUAACACGUGGGUAACCUGCCCAUCAGAAGGGGAUAACACUUGGAAACAGGUGCUAAUACCGUAUAACAAUCGAAACCGCAUGGUUUUGAUUUGAAAGGCGCUUUCGGGUGUCGCUGAUGGAUGGACCCGCGGUGCAUUAGCUAGUUGGUGAGGUAACGGCUCACCAAGGCGACGAUGCAUAGCCGACCUGAGAGGGUGAUCGGCCACAUUGGGACUGAGACACGGCCCAAACUCCUACGGGAGGCAGCAGUAGGGAAUCUUCGGCAAUGGACGAAAGUCUGACCGAGCAACGCCGCGUGAGUGAAGAAGGUUUUCGGAUCGUAAAACUCUGUUGUUAGAGAAGAACAAGGAUGAGAGUAACUGUUCAUCCCUUGACGGUAUCUAACCAGAAAGCCACGGCUAACUACGUGCCA